GACGAACGCUGGCGGCGUGCUUAACACAUGCAAGUCGAACGGGCUCUGUCUGGCUGUGUGCUGGGUGGGGUUAGUGGCAAACGGGUGAGUAAUACGUGAGUAACCUGCCCUCUUCUUUGGGAUAAGCCUUGGAAACGGGGUCUAAUACUGGAUAUUCCUGUCUGGUCGCAUGGCUGGGUGGGGAAAGUUUUUUUCGGUGGGGGAUGGGCUCGCGGCCUAUCAGCUUGUUGGUGGGGUGAUGGCCUACCAAGGCGUCGACGGGUAGCCGGCCUGAGAGGGUGACCGGCCACACUGGGACUGAGAUACGGCCCAGACUCCUACGGGAGGCAGCAGUGGGGGAUAUUGCACAAUGGGCGCAAGCCUGAUGCAGCGACGCCGCGUGGGGGAUGACGGCUUUCGGGUUGUAAACCUCUUUCGUCGGGGGACAAGGCUCUGCUUGGUGGUGGGGUUGAGGGUACCCGGUGAAGAAGCGCCGGCUAACUACGUG
rnacentral:rRNA from 1 species